ACGGAGGGUGCGAGCGUUAAUCGGAAUUACUGGGCGUAAAGCGCGCGUAGGUGGUUAUAUAAGCUAGAUGUGAAAGCCCUGGGCUCAACCUGGGAACUGCAUUUAGAACUGUAUGGCUAGAGUACAGCAGAGGAUAGUGGAAUUUCAGGUGUAGCGGUGAAAUGCGUAGAGAUCUGAAGGAACAUCAGUGGCGAAGGCGACUGUCUGGGCUGAUACUGACACUGAGGUGCGAAAGCGUGGGUAGCAAACAGG
rnacentral:rRNA from 1 species